AGAAUGAACGCUGGCGGCGUGCUUAACACAUGCAAGUCGAACGGGACUGUGGGGGCAACUCUGCAGUCUAGUGGCGGACGGGUGAGUAACACGUGGGUAACCUGCCCGGAAGUGGGGAAUACCUCGGGAAACUCGAGCUAAUACCGCAUAACAUCUUUGGACGAGAGUCCCGACGAUCAAAGCGGGGUCGCAAGAUCUCGCGCUACCGGAUGGGCCCGCGCCCGAUUAGCUAGUUGGUGGGUAACGGCGUCACCAAGGCUUCGAUCGGUAACC
rnacentral:rRNA from 1 species